GGACUGAGAUCAAAGAAAAAUAAAGAAAUGAAGAGCUCAGAAUGGUGGAUAGAGAAGAAAGGCAUAUGUUGUCGUUGAAGCAAGCAGCAUGGAAAUGUAUCCGUGAACGUUACAGCCAUAUCUAGCCCAAAAGAGAAAAUGUCAGUUAUGUCCUCUACUCCAUCUAUUCUCCUAAGAUUACAAAGUAACAAACAGACACGUGUGAAACUGCUGUCUCAUUUGAUUUCAUGAUUUAUAAGCUCUGCUCUGCUCUGUUCUGUGCUUAACAGAGUUUCUAACAGCAGAUUUUGAUGGACCAAUCAUAUUCUCAUUGACUCCUCUGAACCCUUCCCGAUUACUCUGUCUUUCUCUCCUUUCAUGGCGAUCGCUGCUGCUUCUUCCUUCUCCGUCGGUCCUUCCCAGUGUCAUUUAUGUUAAGUGGAAGGGGUUUAUUACUCACCAUUACAUGGGGUUAACAGCAGUUGGGUCAAAACUACAGUUGAUGGCUGCAGAGCUAGCGACCUGUCUGGCAUGAGGUGCAAAAAUAGUUAUUUGUUUAAGGUUAUAUGGGAAAGAGAAAACCAUUUCUCGAUUGUGUAAAAUUGAUCUGGUUUUCUUUAUGGAUUUGUUUAUGAUUUUGAUAGCAGUAUUUGUCCAUUUCUUUGGGAAGCCAUAUAUUUUUGAAAGCUUAGAUUUUAUUGAACA